rnacentral:rRNA from 1 species
AGUUUGAUCCUGGCUCAGAACGAACGCUGGCGGCGCGUUUUAAGCAUGCAAGUCGAACGGGAUUCAAGUGCUUGCACUUGAUGAGAGUGGCGAACGGGUGAGUAACACGUAAGUGAUCUGCCCUGGGGAUGGGGAUAGCUCAUGGAAACAUGGGGUAAGACCGAAUACCGUAACACUAUUUGAAGGUUAUGUUACGAAAAGAGCUACGGCUCUGCCCUGGGAUGAGCUUGCGGCCCAUUAGCUAGUUGGUGAGGUAAAGGCCCACCAAGGCAACGAUGGGUAGCCGGCCUGAGAGGGUGAACGGCCACAUUGGGACUGAGACACGGCCCAGACUCCUACGGGAGGCAGCAGCUAAGAAUCUUCCGCAAUGGGCGAAAGCCUGACGGAGCGACGCCGCGUGAACGAAGAAGGCAGAGAUGUUGUAAAGUUCUUUUCCUGUUGAAGAAUAAGUGGAAGAGGGAAUGCUUCCAUGAUGACGUUAGACAGGGAAUAAGCCACGGCUAAUUACGUGCCAGCAGCCGCGGUAACACGUAAGUGGCGAGCGUUGUUCGGAUUCAUUGGGCGUAAAGGGCGUGUAGGCGGCGUAUCAAGCUUGGUGUGAAAUAUUUCGGCUUAACCGAAAAGACGCGCUGAGAACUGAUAUGCUAGAGUUCAAGAGGGGGAGUUAGAAUUCCAGGUGUAGGGGUGAAAUCUGUAGAUAUCUGGAAGAAUACCGGUGGCGAAGGCGAACUCCUGGCAAUGAACUGACGCUGAGGCGCGAAAGCGUGGGUAGCGAACAGGAUUAGAUACCCUGGUAGUCCACGCUGUAAACGAUGUGCACUAAGUGUUGGGGGGUUUACCUCCAGUGCUGAAGCGAACGUGAUAAGUGCACCGCCUGGGGAGUAUGCUCGCAAGGGUGAAACUCAAAGGAAUUGACGGGGGCCCGCACAAGCGGUGGAGCAUGUGGUUUAAUUCGAUGGUACGCGAGGAACCUUA